AAUUGACCUCGGAUCAGGUAGGGAUACCCGCUGAACUUAAGCAUAUCAAUAAGCGGAGGAAAAGAAACCAACCGGGAUUGCCUCAGUAACGGCGAGUGAAGCGGCAACAGCUCAAAUUUGAAAUCUGACCCCGUCGGGGUUCGAGUUGUAAUUUGUAGAGGAUGUUUCGGGCGCGAAGCCGGUCUAAGUCCCUUGGAACGGGGCGUCGUAGAGGGUGAGAAUCCCGUAUGUGACCGGCGAUCAAGCCUCUGUGAAACUCCUUCGACGAGUCGAGUUGUUUGGGAAUGCAGCUCAAAAUGGGUGGUAAAUUUCAUCUAAAGCUAAAUAUUGGCCAGAGACCGAUAGCGCACAAGUAGAGUGAUCGAAAGAUGAAAAGCACUUUGGAAAGAGAGUCAAAAAGUACGUGAAAUUGUUGAAAGGGAAGCGCUUGCAACCAGACCUGCCCGCGGGCGAUCAGCCGUCCCUUCCGGGGGCGGUGCACGCGCCCGCGAUCAGGCCAGCAUCGGUUCGGGCGGCCGGAUAAAGGCCCGGGGAACGUAGCUCCUCUCGGGGAGUGUUAUAGCCCCGGGUGCAAUGCGACCCGCCUGGACCGAGGACCGCGCUUCGGCUAGGAUGCUGGCGUAAUGGUUGUAAGCGGCCCGUCUUGAAACACGGACCAAGGAGUCUAACAUCCAUGCGAGUGUUUGGGUGUCAAACCCGUGCGCGUAAUGAAAGUGAACGGAGGUAGGAACCCAUAAGGGCGCACUAUCGACCGAUCCUGAUGUCUUCGGAUGGAUUUGAGUACGAGCAUGGCUGUUGGGACCCGAAAGAUGGUGAACUAUGCCUGAAUAGGGUGAAGCCAGAGGAAACUCUGGUGGAGGCUCGCAGCGGUUCUGACGUGCAAAUCGAUCGUCAAAUUUGGGUAUAGGGGCGAAAGUAAGUUACGAAUCUUCCAUUCUUCAGCCUGGCUGCCCGGAAGGAGUGGGGUUAGUGACGGACGAAGGGGUUGAAGCUCUUUUUCGGGUGGCUGGCCGGCUGGCUAUUGAUCUUUGGCUUCUAGAUAUCAAGUGCUAAACNUAAUAAUCGACUAAUCGAACCAUCUAGUAGCUGGUUCCAGCCGAAGUU
rnacentral:rRNA from 1 species